rnacentral:rRNA from 1 species
GGAUCAUUAAUCGAACCAACAUGUUUCUCAGCAUGAUAUUUCAAACCCCACCUGUGUACCUUACCUGUUGCUUCCGUGCUGCGCAUGCUGCAAACGUGUGCCUUGCGGUCCGGAGUACCUAUUGCUCCUAUGGCCCGUGGGAGCCGGCACGGGAGGUAACCCACAAACUCUUGCCCUUGAAUGCCUUCCGUCUGAACUGUAGUACAUGAAAAGUUAAAACUUUCAACAACGGAUCUCUUGGUUCUCGCAUCGAUGAAGAACGCAGCGAAAUGCGAUAAGUAGUGUGAAUUGCAGAAUUCCGUGAAUCAUCGAAUCUUUGAACGCACAUUGCGCCUCCUGGUAAUCCGUGAGGCAUGCCUGUUCGAGCGUCACCAAAAUCAAAUCAACCACCACCCAUGUGCUUGGUCAUGGAGGAAGAGUACGUCUUGUUGCGGUCUCCCCUCCCAAAAUCAACGGCGGAAAGUCGCUGGCACUCGGCGUAGGAGUAUUAUUCGCCGAUUGCCCAGUGUCGUUCCUGCCACCAAAUGCCCACGAUUCUCUUGAUUGACCUCGGAUCAGGUAGGGAUACCCGCUGAACUUAAGCAUAU